CUAUUUUAUAAAACAUUGUAAUGGUGGGAUUGUUCCUGAUGAGGACUGGCAUUUAUAAGUCAAUAGUUGUGGCCUUUUGCUCCAACACUAAAAAAUUAGACAACGUAGUAGACUCAAUUCCCCUUCCUCUCUGUUUUUUUCUCUGUUUCUUCAGUGGUCAUGGUUAUAACCACAAAGCACAAUACUCUCCAUCAAAAGAACCACAAGAACACACCCACAAAACAUACACUUGAAAGAAGAAAUCCUUGAGCACGUACCAUCUUGUAGAUGCAGUGAUAGGGAAGCGUGAUAGCAUAGCAGACACGGUGUAUUCAGAAGAAAUAAAUGCGAAUCAAGACAUAGCAACUACAGGGGUGUCUACAGCAAAGAAGGGUGCAAAUUAAUCAGAAAAGGAGGUGCAAGCAGCAGUCAAUACCAAAAGAAAGAUGUCAAGCCUGCUUACCUUAAGAACUACGUGUGAUCCUGAGGAAUGAUGCUGAAUGAUCUGUGCUGCCAGCAAGGAAGACAAGAAUAACGAUUUCUGAUUUCCUCUAGCACAAAAGGACAAAAUCUAUUAUGUAGAAAUCAGUAUAAAUACAAUAGCAUGUAAUAAGCAGCAUGAUAUGAAUGAAAUUAGCAAAUUACUCU